AUGAACGCUGGCGGCGUGCCUCAUACAUGCAAGUCGAGCGAACAGACGAGGAGCUUGCUCCUCUGACGUUAGCGGCGGACGGGUGAGUAACACGUGGAUAACCUACCUAUAAGACUGGGAUAACUUCGGGAAACCGGAGCUAAUACCGGAUAAUAUAUUGAACCGCAUGGUUCAAUAGUGAAAGACGGUUUUGCUGUCACUUAUAGAUGGAUCCGCGCCGCAUUAGCUAGUUGGUAAGGUAACGGCUUACCAAGGCAACGAUGCGUAGCUGACCUGAGAGGGUGAUCGGCCACACUGGAACUGAGACACGGUCCAGACUCCUACGGGAGGCAGCAGUAGGGAAUCUUCCGCAAUGGGCGAAAGCCUGACGGAGCAACGCCGCGUGAGUGAUGAAGGUCUUCGGAUCGUAAAACUCUGUUAUUAGGGAAGAACAAAUGUGUAAGUAACUAUGCACGUCUUGACGGUACCUAAUCAGAAAGCCACGGCUAACUACGUG
rnacentral:rRNA from 1 species